GGGGGUUGACCCCUCUAUUUAUACAAUGGGUCGAAUAUACCAAAAUAUGAUAAACUUCUAAUUAUCCUAGGUCUAAAUCUUCAUUACUUCUAUUCUUCAUAAGAUCCUCUUCUCUUAAAUGGAAGUUUUCUCUUUACACGACCUAAGAAGUUGGUUAUGGCGAUCUUGAUUGUCGACUUAAGUCUUCGGGCGAGCUCAUGACUUAGGCCCAUUAACAGGCUAACCGGGAUACCCCGGUUCAAUCGACUUCUCGAUUUUAUUCACAUUAUUCCUUGGUUUAAAUUGGUAUUGUCGGAGGUGUUAAUUCCUGCACCAACAGUAAUCCCAUCUCCCAUCUCAAUAUAAGAACUUAACUCUACCCUUUGCAUUCAUGAAUCUUUUAAACCCUUGUUCUAAUCAUUCUUUCCUUUUCUCUUAACUCUAGGAGAAGCUUUCUCAACACUUUGUUACAUCUAGCGGAUUUGGAUUUCUUUAACAACUAAGGUUCCUGUUUUUAACAUUUCAAAACCAAGGGCUUUUGCCCAUCUCCAAUAGCUAACAAGAACUCUUUCUUUUCUUUACAAAUCCCAAAACCUUUACUAGACUUUUUCUGCUUCUUUAGCUUACUUCACCUAGAGUCUUUUUUCUUUUCUUAUCAAUGAAUCAACCCCCUCUUUUU
rnacentral:sRNA from 1 species